UAAACGACUCUCGGCAACGGAUAUCUCGGCUCACGCAUCGAUGAAGAACGUAGCAAAAUGCGAUACUUGGUGUGAAUUGCAGAAUCCCGUGAACCAUCGAGUUUUUGAACGCAAGUUGCGCCCGAAGCCGUUCGGCCGAGGGCACGUCUGCCUGGGCGUCACGC
rnacentral:rRNA from 2 species